rnacentral:rRNA from 1 species
GAUGAACGCUGGCGGCGUGCCUAAUACAUGCAAGUCGAGCGAACAGACGAGGAGCUUGCUCCUCUGACGUUAGCGGCGGACGGGUGAGUAACACGUGGAUAACCUACCUAUAAGACUGGGAUAACUUCGGGAAACCGGAGCUAAUACCGGAUAAUAUAUUGAACCGCAUGGUUCAAUAGUGAAAGACGGUUUUGCUGUCACUUAUAGAUGGAUCCGCGCCGCAUUAGCUAGUUGGUAAGGUAACGGCUUACCAAGGCGACGAUGCGUAGCCGACCUGAGAGGGUGAUCGGCCACACUGGAACUGAGCCGCGGUCCAGACUCCUACGGGAGGCAGCAGUAGGGAAUCUUCCGCAAUGGGCGAAAGCCUGACGGAGCAACGCCGCGUGAGUGAUGAAGGUCUUCGGAUCGUAAAACUCUGUUAUUAGGGAAGAACAAAUGUGUAAGUAACUAUGCACGUCUUGACGGUACCUAAUCAGAAAGCCACGGCUAACUACGUG